UUGGUAAAGGGCUUCCAAUCAUUCGCUAUGUGUUGGUCCCUAGACCUAUUUCUUUCCCUAGGUCUGGUUUUAUAAAUAUUGGUGAUAAAC